rnacentral:rRNA from 1 species
CACGUAGGGCGCGAGCGUUGUCCGGAAUUAUUGGGCGUAAAGCGCGUGUAGGCGGCUUUGCAAGUCGGGUGUGAAAGCCCUCAGCUCAACUGAGGAAGUGCGCCCGAAACUGCAGAGCUUGAGUGCCGGAGAGGGUGGCGGAAUUCCCCAAGUAGAGGUGAAAUUCGUAGAUAUGGGGAGGAACACCGGUGGCGAAGGCGGCCACCUGGACGGUAACUGACGCUGAGACGCGAAAGCGUGGGGAGCAAACAGG